GACGAACGCUGGCGGCGUGCUUAACACAUGCAAGUCGAACGGAAAGGCCCUGCUUUCAGUGUACUCGAGUGGCGAACGGGCGAGUAACACGUGGGUGAUCUGCCCUGCACUUCGGGAUAAGCCUGGUCAGCUGGGUCUAAUACCGAACAGGUGCCAUUUUUAGCGUGAUGGUUGGAUAGUUUUGUCGGGUUAUGGUGAGUUCGCGGGCUAUCGGCUUGUUGGUGGGGUAAUGUGCUACCAAGGCGGCUAGGGGUAGCCGCCCUGUGGGGGUGACCGGCGACAUUGGGACCGAGAGGAGGCACAGGCAGGGACGGGAGGCAGAUGGGGGGAAUAUUGCAGAAGGGGCGCAAGCCGAAUGAAGAGGCGCCGCGUGGGGGAUGACGCUCUUAGGGGUGUAAACUAAUUUCGCAAGGGACGAAGCUUUUUGUGACGGUACCUAGUCAAGAAGCACCGGCUAACUACGUG
rnacentral:rRNA from 1 species